rnacentral:tRNA from 1 species
GUUUUAAUAGUUUAAUUAUAAAACACUGGUCUUGUAAACCAAAAUUAAGUACCACUUUUAAAACU